AACAGUAGCUCUAACCCGUUUUCCCUCUUACUGUCAUUUCUAUGUGCUUCUCUAUCUGGGAGCAAAAGAUGUAAACCAGAGUUGACAAGAAAUUCAUCCUGUGAUGUGCCCUCCUGGACAGACCUGCCUGGACUGUAUGUUUUCUCCCUGCCCACGGAGGCAAUGCUCUGGUGAUGGCGAGAGCCAGGCGUGACUCCCGACAAGAUGGUACCACGUUCAGAGCCUCAGACAGGAGCACAAAAUACGUCUCAUAUUGACUCAGCCCUGAUGCUUCAAGACUGGGCUUUAUCAUAAAAUGCAGAGGCUGUGCCUGGAGCUGAACGACGGUGUCAACUAGACAUAAAAAUAACAAUUCCCUAAGAGCAAACGUCCAGCAGAGAAGAGCAAACCAGACCUGGUCUCUCGCAAGGUGUACACGUCCCCACAGACGGAGAUCUCGCGCCAGACGCCGGGCUGGGACUCCUCCGUGAAGCCCCCUCUGGGAUGCAUCACCAGGACGCCAUUUGUCGUGAGCCCAUCCAUGUGGCCGUCGGGGUUUUUCCACUUUGCUGCCUUUUCCUGGAGAGAAAAAUCGUGCAAGGUUAUUAUGUUCAAUAUGAAGGGAUUCUGGAAUCUCUUUAAAAUAUUGGGUAGGGGCAGAGAAGAGGCAAGUGAGGAAUCUUCAUUUCCUACUUAAAGCUAAUAAUAUCAGAAGGGUAAAAUAUGCAAUGAGUCUGACAGAAUGAAAGAAGGGCAAAAAUGGCUGAAGUGGUCACGCUACACGCAGGAACCAGCUCACCCACAUCAAGACCUCGUCCGAGGCAGGUGAUGUGCCCAGAAGCGGAGGGCAAGACAGAGUGAACCUGGCUUCCUAGAUGUCGUGAACCACCGCACCAGCCACCCUGCUGCUGGCCUUCCUUGGCACUUCCUGUAACACGGGAUGGUAGAAAAAAAGCGAGAUUUUAAAGGAAGCCAGCAAACAAAAGAAUGAUUUCCCCCAUUCUUACCCAGCACCAGGGACUGGUUUUCUCUACUAAGUGACUCCACCAGACUCACAUUCACAGCACGGAACAAGGAUAGCCCCAGCCCAGACAGAGCGACCCAGU